rnacentral:rRNA from 1 species
GAGAAGGGCGUUUGGUGGAUGCCUUGGCAGCAAGAGGCGAUGAAAGACGUGAUACUCUGCGAUAAGCCGUGAGGAGCUGAGAAUAAGCUUUGAUCCACGGAUCUCUGAAUGGGGCAACCCACCUGAAAGUUCAUUAUAAUUACCCUCGGGUAUUUAUAAUGUUCUUAACCAGGUACUUCUUACCUGAAUACAUAGGGUUUGAAGAGCAAACCCGGGGAACUGAAACAUCUAAGUACCCGGAGGAAAGGAAAUCAAUAUGAUACUCCCCUAGUAGCGGCGAGCGAACGGGGACCAGCCGAGCCUUGAGUGUGAAUAGAAUGUGUUGGGAAGCACAGCCAGAGUGGGUGAUAGCCCCGUAUAUGAAGCAUGAUAGGACGUAUUAAGUAGGGCGGGACACGUGAAAUCCUGUCUGAAGAUCGG